rnacentral:misc_RNA from 1 species
AACGCACAUUGCGCCUGUUAGCAUUCUAGCAGGCAUGCCUGUCCGAGCGUCAUUUCAAUCCUCAAGUCCUGCUGUGACUUGGUGUUGGGGCGCCUGUAGCAUUUAGUGCUUAUGGGCCCUGAAAAAUCGGUGGCGGACCCGUCAGGUCUCCGAGCGCAGUAGCAUUUAUCUCGCUUCUGGAGGUGCUGUCGGGUUACUUAUUCCAGCCAUUAAAUUCAAAUUGAAGAUAACAAAAUUUGACCUCGGAUCAGGUAGGAAUACCCGCUGAACUUAA